GGCUGGCUCAAAGGUAGUGACUUCUACCAGUUUAUUGUGCACAGUCAUUACAGACUAAAUUCCUUGUUCUACUUUUCCCCCCUCCUCACUAAUGCACUUGACUAGUCUUUA
ensembl:misc_RNA Y_RNA Y RNA